GAUGAACGCUGGCGGCGUGCCUAAUACAUGCAAGCCGAGCGAAUGGAUUAAGAGCUUGCUCUUAUGAAGUUAGCGGCGGACGGGUGAGUAACACGUGGGUAACCUGCCCAUAAGACUGGGAUAACUCCGGGAAACCGGGGCUAAUACCGGAUAACAUUUUGAACCGCAUGGUUCGAAAUUGAAAGGCGGCUUCGGCUGUCACUUAUGGCUGGACCCGCGUCGCAUUAGCAAGUUGGUGAGGUAACGGCUCACCAAGGCAACGAUGCGUAGCCGACCUGGGAGGGUGAUCGGCCACACUGGGACUGAGACACGGCCCAGACUCCUACGGGAGGCAGCAGUAGGGAAUCUUCCGCAAUGGACGAAAGUCUGACGGAGCAACGCCGCGUGAGUGAUGAAGGCUUUCGGGUCGUAAAACUCUGUUGUUAGGGAAGAACAAGUGCUAGUUGAAUAAGCUGGCACCUUGACGGUACCUAACCAGAAAGCCACGGCUAACUACGUGCCAGCCGCCGCCGUAA
rnacentral:rRNA from 1 species